UGGGGAAUAUUGGACAAUGGGGGGAACCCUGAUCCAGCCAUGCCGCGUGUGUGAAGAAGGCCUUAUGGUUGUAAAGCACUUUAAGCGAGGAGGAGGGUACUGGUAUUAAUACUACCAGGUACUGGACGUUACUCGCAGAAUAAGCACCGGCUAACUCUGUGCCAGCAGCCGCGGUAAUACAGAGGGUGCGAGCGUUAAUCGGAUUUACUGGGCGUAAAGCGUGCGUAGGCGGCUAAUUGAGUCGGAUGUGAAAUCCCCGAGCUUAACUUAGGAAUUGCAUUCGAUACUGGUCAGCUAGAGUAUGGGAGAGGAUGGUAGAAUUCCAGGUGUAGCGGUGAAAUGCGUAGAGAUCUGGAGGAAUACCGAUGGCGAAGGCAGCCAUCUGGCCUAAUACUGACGCUGAGGUACGAAAGCAUGGGGAGCAAACAGG
rnacentral:rRNA from 1 species